rnacentral:rRNA from 1 species
AGAGGGUGCAAGCGUUAAUCGGAUUUACUGGGGCGUAAAGCGCGCGUAGGUGGCCAAUUAAGUCAAAUGUGAAAUACCCCCGAGCUUAACGUUGGGGAAUUGCAUUCGAUACUGGUUGGCUAGAGUAUGGGAGAGGAUGGUAGAAUUCCAGGUGUAGCGGUGAAAUGCGUAGAGAUCUGGAGGAAUACCGAUGGCGAAGGCAGCCAUCUGGCCUAAUACUGACACUGAGGUGCGAAAGCAUGGGGAGCAAACAGGAUUAGAUACCCUGGUAGUCCAUGCCGUAAACGAUGUCUACUAGCCGUUGGGGCCUUUGAGGCUUUAGUGGCGCAGCUAACGCGAUAAGUAGACCGCCUGGGGAGUACGGUCGCAAGACUA